GUAGGGAAUAUUGGGCAAUGGAGGCAACUCUGACCCAGCCAUGCCGCGUGCAGGAUGACGGCCCUCUGGGUUGUAAACUGCUUUUAUACGGGAAGAAAAAAUACUACGUGUAGUAUACUGUCGGUACCGUAAGAAUAAGGAUCGGCUAACUCCGUGCCAGCAGCCGCGGUAAUACGGAGGAUCCAAGCGUUGUCCGGAUCUAUUGGGUUUAAAGGGUGCGUAGGCGGAUCUUUAAGUCAGUGGUGAAAGCCUGCAGCUUAACUGUAGAAUUGCCAUUGAAACUGAAGAUCUUGAAUGUGGUUAAAGUAGGCGGAAUGUAUCAUGUAGCGGUGAAAUGCUUAGAGAUGAUACAGAACACCGAUAGCGAAGGCAGCUUGCUGAACCAUUAUUGACGCUGAGGCACGAAAGCGUGGGGAGCGAACAGGAUUAGAAACCCCUGUAGUCC
rnacentral:rRNA from 1 species